ensembl:snRNA U2 U2 spliceosomal RNA
UUUUUUAUCACAGCCUUUUGGCUAAGAUCAAGUGUUGUAUCUGUUCUUAUCAGUUAGUGAUUCAUCAGUCUUAUAUAACACCCAGUGUGCAUUAGAUCACGUGCCCUCCUU